GCUAUACCACUGAUCAUAGCUAUAGAUGCCUAGGACUGUAACUGAUACAACAACAAAGCUACAAAUGGCUCCAGGCCCGGAUAGUUUCACAGGCCAUUCCACCACACUGUUAAGGAACAGAUAAUAUUUAAAUGGAUGCAAAGCAUAAAUAAGGAAAGAAAAUUUCUAAAUUCUCUUUAUGAAGCUACCAUAAGAAUGAUGCCAAAACCCAAAGAGACAAGCACAGAAAGAAAAUCAUAAGCCAAUCUUAUGAAUGAACACCAACACAAAAAUGUGAAUUAAAUUGUCUAAAAACUGUAAGCCAUGACCUAGGAGACUUGAAGAUGGUUUGAUAUUAGGAAAUAUCUUAAAAUAGGUCUUCACAUUCAUAGAGCCUAUAAAAUUGCAGUAGUUGGGACAUGGACCCCCUAGUCGGACAGCAAAGAAAUUAGGCAGAGGAACCAAAAAUGGAUCCAAACACACCCACCUAGUUAGGACAUAGGAGAGGUGAUUUUUGCCUAUCAGUGUGAUGAAUUCCAGUUGUUCAGAAGACACCAACUGAAUUACAACUAAAUAGUUUUCUAGAAAAAAAUAAAAUUGCAUUUCUACUUUAUUCCCUAAGGCCUCCAUAUGUUACAGCUACAGCAGAUAUUUUUAUAAAGUUGGAAACCAUAACCUUCUGGCUUUUGUGUCCUCCUGUAAUACUCUUCUUUGUGCAAUUUCUUAUUGUUGGCAGGAAAUCUCUUUUUCUCAUGAAAAAACAUUGCCUCCCCCGUGGGGUUCCGCUGUGGGGAGGCCCCUUCAGAAGGUCGGCAGGAGGAGGAGGCGAGGUGGGGCUGCCCAAGGCCACUGUUGAGGGUCCCCCACCCCUGUCCCUGGUUGGCACUGCACUGGGGUAUUGGUCAUACAGUGGGGGGGCACCUCCCGGAUCGU
rnacentral:lncRNA from 1 species